rnacentral:piRNA from 1 species
UAGCGGCUCUUUAGAAAGGACAAGG